rnacentral:rRNA from 1 species
UACGUAGGUGGCAAGCGUUGUCCGGAAUUAUUGGGCGUAAAGCGUGCGCAGGCGGUGAUGUAAGACAGGUGUGAAAUCCCCGGGCUUAACCUGGGAACUGCAUUUGUGACUGCAUCGCUGGAGUGCGGCAGAGGGGGAUGGAAUUCCGCGUGUAGCAGUGAAAUGCGUAGAGAUGCGGAGGAACACCGAUGGCGAAGGCAGCCCCCUGGGCUAGCACUGACGCUCAGGCACGAAAGCGUGGGGAGCAAACAGG